rnacentral:rRNA from 1 species
UACGUAGGGCGCAAGCGUUGUCCGGAAUUAUUGGGCGUAAAGAGCUCGUAGGCGGUUUGUCGCGUCUGCUGUGAAAACCUAAGGCUCAACCUUGGGCUUGCAGUGGGUACGGGCAGACUAGAGUGCGGUAGGGGUGACUGGAAUUCCUGGUGUAGCGGUGAAAUGCGUAGAGAUCAUGAGGAAGACCAGUGGCGAAGGCGGGUCUCUGGACAGUUCCUGACACUGAGGCACGAAGGCCAGGGGAGCAAACGGG